rnacentral:rRNA from 1 species
UACGUAGGUGGCAAGCGUUGUCCGGAAUCAUUGGGCGUAAAGCGCGUGUAGGCGGCUGAGUAAGUCCGCUCUGAAAGCCCGGGGCUCAACCCCGGGAGGCGGGUGGAUACUGCUCAGCUCGAGUCCGGAAGAGGAGGGUGGAAUUCCUGGUGUAGCGGUGAAAUGCGCAGAUAUCAGGAGGAACACCAAUGGCGAAGGCAGCACUCUGGGACGGUACUGACGCUGAGACGCGAAAGCGUGGGGAGCAAACAGG